AGUACCUCGACUUUACAGAAGAUCACAGCAAAAUAAUACUGUUUUCAAGCAGUAUUGUGUUCCUGUUGGUGAGUAAGGUGACCAGAGCUCCUGGGGGGAUUGGGGAUUGGGUCAAUAAUGCGCUUGCGAUGCCUCUGGUGUUGCAGGCGUCUGUAAGCUACGGUAAUCUCUUACCAUCAGGUGAGCCGUACGCUUGUUUGCCGACCUGGUGAUAUAAA
rnacentral:misc_RNA from 1 species